rnacentral:rRNA from 1 species
GGACGAACGCUGGCGGCGUGCCUAAGACAUGCAAGUCGAACGGGACCUUCGGGUCUAGUGGCGAACGGCGGAGUAAUACAUAAGUAACUUGCCUCGAAGAUCGGGAUAGCCGCGGGAAACUGCGAGUAAUACCGGAUGUGACGAGUGGGGGGCAUCCCCUGCUCAUUAAAUGGUUUUUCGCUUCGAGAGCGGCUUAUGACACAUCAGCUAGUUGGUGGGGUAAAGGCCUACCAAGGCGACGACGUGUAGGGGGUCUGAGAGGAUGAUCCCCCCGAGUGGGACUGAGACAUGGUCCAGACUCCUACGGGAGUUAGCAUCAGGGAAUCUUGCACAAUGAGCGAAAGCUCGAUGCAGCGACGCCGCGUGGGUGAUGAAGGACUGCGGUCCGUAAAGCCCUGUCAGAGGGGAAGAAGAUCUGACGGUACCCUCAGAGGAAGCCCCGGCUAACUACGUGCCAGCAGCCGCGGUAACACGUAGGGGGCAAGCGUUGUCCGGAAUUACUGGGCGUAAAGCGCGCGCAGGCUGUUUGGUCAGCAGCGGGUGAAAUCACAGGGCUCAACUCUGUGGCUGCUCGCUGAACUGCCAGACUAGGGUUCGGGAGAGGGCAGUGGAAUUCCUGGUGUAGCGGUGGAAUGCGUAAAUAUCAGGAGGAACACCCGUGGCGAAAGCUGCUGCCUGGAACGAUACCGACGCUGAGGCGCGAAAGCUAGGGGAGCGAACGGGAUUAGAUACCCCGGUAGUCCUAGCCGUAAACGAUGGACACUAGGUGUUGGGAGCAUCGACCCUCCCAGUGCUGUUCUGCUAACGCGUUAAGUGUCCCGCCUGGGGAGUACGGCCGCAAGGUUGAAACUAAAAGGAAUUGACGGGGGCCCGCACAAGCAGCGAGGCAUGUGGUUUAAUUCGAUGCUACACGAAGAACCUUACCUGGGCUUGACAUGUAGUGGAAAGCGGUAUGAAAGUACUGCCCUUGUUGUAGCAAUACAACAACCGCUAUGCAGGUGGUGCAUGGUUGUCGUCAGCUCGUGUCGUGAGAUGUAAGGUUAAGUCCUUAAACGAGCGCAACCCCUGCCACUAGUUGCCACCGGUUCGGCCGGGCACUCUAGUGGGACCGCUAGUGAUAAACUAGAGGAAGGUGGGGAUGACGUCAAAUCCUCACGCCCCUUAUGUCCAGGGCUACACACAUGCGACAAUGGUAGGGACAGCAGGAUGCGACGAGGUAACUCUGAGCUAAUCCUCAAACCCUGCCCCAGUACAGAUCGAGGGCUGCAACCCGCCCUCGUGAAGAUGGAGUUGCUAGUAAACGCAGGUCAGCUAUACUGCGUUGAAUACGUUCCCGGGCCU